GAUCCGACCGACGUUUUUCUCUUCGGAUCGGCAUCGCAUCGCUUCUCCUCGCAGCCUCGUCUCACUGCCAUCACCGAUCGCCAGCGGCUGAGCACCUCCUUCCACCACCGUCCACCAGAUCUGGGAGGGGAUCUAUUGGUUCGGCACUGCUGGAUUGAGCCGUGCCACCUGAUCGUCGGCGUGGAAGGGCAAUUAGGGUUUCACGGGUAAGCAACCGACCUUCAUCCUUCUUCCCUCCUCUUCUCUGGAGUGUCUCGGAUCUGUGCCCUAGCACUGUCUGCGAAUCCCCAAUUUCUUCUCUGACUGACGGCGAGGUGCACAAGGUUGCCCUAGCAGCGAUCUUGGAGUCCAGUGAGGAGGAAUUUUUGCAGGGAGGUCAUGCUAUGCUAUUCUUUGAUCUAAAUAAUUCUAUCAGUGAAGGGUGCUUGAGUUGUCGGGCAAUGCUUAGAAGAGUUGCUGCUGGAUCAGUGAUCUCCUUGAUUGAUCCCUUGUUGUAAUCCGAUUGAUUUCCAGUGAGGUUGAGUGUCCUGUGGAUCUAGAAUUGGGUUCUGUGGCUUCUGGGUUCCGGCAGCACCUCAACCAGUAGCUCCUCUGGUUUCAACAAUCAACAGUGGUUGUUAAUUGAGGAUCUUGUCUGGUCCAGCAGGGCACUUUGUUUUCCAGCAGCUCAAUUGAGGACUCUGAUUCGAGACAGGCGUCUCGACGUUGGAUUUGGCGUGAUUGUACCUUCUAUU